AUUGAACGCUGGCGGCAUGCCUCACACAUGCAAGUCGAACGGCAGCACGGGAGCAAUCCUGGUGGCGAGUGGCGAACGGGUGAGUAAUAUAUCGGAACGUGCCCAGUCGUGGGGGAUAACGUAGCGAAAGCUACGCUAAUACCGCAUACGAUCUAUGGAUGAAAGCGGGGGAUCGCAAGACCUCGCGCGAUUGGAGCGGCCGAUAUCAGAUUAGGUAGUUGGUGAGGUAAAGGCUCACCAAGCCGACGAUCUGUAGCUGGUCUGAGAGGACGACCAGCCACACUGGAACUGAGACACGGUCCAGACUCCUACGGGAGGCAGCAGUGGGGAAUUUUGGACAAUGGGCGCAAGCCUGAUCCAGCAAUGCCGCGUGCAGGAUGAAGGCCUUCGGGUUGUAAACUGCUUUUGUACGGAGCGAAACGGUGAGCUCUAAUACAGUUUGCUAAUGACGGUACCGUAAGAAUAAGCACCGGCUAACUACGUGCCAGCCGCCGCGGUAA
rnacentral:rRNA from 1 species